rnacentral:rRNA from 1 species
CCUACGGGAGGCAGCAGUGAGGAAUAUUGGUCAAUGGCCGUAAGGCUGAACCAGCCAAGUCGCGUGAAGGAUGACUGCCCUAUGGGUUGUAAACUUCUUUUAUAAGGGAAUAAUAUAUGCCACGUGUACCAUGUUGUCUGUACCUUAUGAAUAAGCAUCGGCUAACUCCGUGCCAGCAGCCGCGGUAAUACGGAGGAUCCGAGCGUUAUCCGGAUUUAUUGGGUUUAAAGGGAGCGUAGGUGGGUUGUUAAGUCAGCGGUGAAAGGCCGCGGCUCAACGGGGGAAGUGCAAUUGAUACUGGCUGGCUGGAGUGCAGAUGAGGUAGGCGGAAUUCGUGGUGUAGCGGUGAAAUGCUUAGAUAUCACGAAGAACUCCGAUUGCGAAGGCAGCCUACGAAACCGCCACUGACGCUGAUGCUCGAAAGCGUGGGUAUCAAACAGGAUUAGAUACCCCAGUAGUC